ACCCGCUGCAUUUAAGCAUAUCAAUAAGCGGAGGAAAAGAAACCAACAGGGAUUGCCUUAGUAACGGCGGGUGAAGCGGCAAAAGCUCAAAUUUGAAAUCUGGCACCUUCGGUGUCCGAGUUGUAAUUUGAAGAAGGUAACUUUGGAGUUGGCUCUUGUCUAUGUUCCUUGGAACAGGACGUCACAGAGGGUGAGAAUCCCGUGCGAUGAGAUGCCCAAUUCUAUGUAAAGUGCUUUCGAAGAGUCGAGUUGUUUGGGAAUGCAGCUCUAAGUGGGUGGUAAAUUCCAUCUAAAGCUAAAUAUUGGCGAGAGACCGAUAGCGAACAAGUACAGUGAUGGAAAGAUGAAAAGAACUUUGAAAAGAGAGUGAAAAAGUACGUGAAAUUGUUGAAAGGGAAGGGCUUGAGAUCAGACUUGGUAUUUUGCGAUCCUUUCCUUCUUGGUUGGGUUCCUCGCAGCUUACUGGGCCAGCAUCGGUUUGGAUGGUAGGAUAAUGACUAAGGAAUGUGGCUCUACUUCGGUGGAGUGUUAUAGCCUUGGUUGAUACUGCCUGUCUAGACCGAGGACUGCGUCUUUUGACUAGGAUGUUGGCAUAAUGAUCUUAAGCCACCCGUCUUGAAACACGGACCAAGGAG
rnacentral:rRNA from 1 species